rnacentral:rRNA from 1 species
UAAUAUGGUUGAUCCUGCCAGUAGUCAUAUGCUUGUCUUAAAGAUUAAGCCAUGCAUGUCUUAGUAUAAAUAGUAUACAGUGAAACUGCGAAUGGCUCAUUAAAACAGUUAUAGUUUAUUUGAUAGUGCACAUUACAUGGAUAACCGUGGUAAUUCUAGAGCUAAUACAUGCGUAAAUACCUGAAUAUGUAAGGUAGCAUUUAUUAGAUUUAACCAACAUUAUGGUGAAUCAUAGUAACUUGGCGGACCGCGCUAGUCGUGGUAAAUCAUUCAAGUUUCUGCCCUAUCAGCUUUCGAUGGUAGUGUAUUGGACUACCAUGGCAGUCACGGGUAACGGAGAAUUAGGGUUCGAUUCCGGAGAGGGAGCCUGAGAAACGGCUACCACAUCUAAGGAAGGCAGCAGGCGCGUAAAUUACCCAAUCCCAAUUCGGGGAGGUAGUGACAAGAAAUAACGACUCGAGUGGAUUUCCACUUCGGGAUUGCAAUGAGAUAAUUCUAAAAACUUAAACGAUUACCAAUUGGAGGGCAAGUCUGGUGCCAGCAGCCGCGGUAAUUCCAGCUCCAAUAGCGUAUACUUAAGUUGUUGCAGUUAAAAAGCUCGUAGUUGAAAUUCGGGUUAUCUCUAGCAUGGCCCAGGUCGUGUUAGAGGUGAUUCUCCGUCUACAAACUUCUUUGCUCCUUAAAACGUGCAGUUUAGCGAGUAGACAAUUUACCUUGAAAAAAUUAGAGUGUUCCAGGCAGUUCUCGCCGGAAUACAUUAGCAUGGAAUAAUGGAAAAGGACUCUAUCCUUUGUUGGUUUCAGGACAAGAGUAAUGAUUAAUAGGGACAGAUGGGGGCAUUAGUAUUUAAUUGUCAGAGGUGAAAUUCUUGGAUUUAUUAAAGACUAACUUAUGCGAAAGCAUUUGCCAAGAUGUUUUCAUUAAUCAAGAACGAAAGUUAGGGGAUCAAAGACGAUCAGAUACCGUCGUAGUCUUAACUAUAAACUAUACCGACUCGAGAUCGGAAGGGUUACAACUCUUUCGGCAUCGUAAGAGAAAUCAAAGUCUUUGGGUUCUGGGGGGAGUAUGGUCGCAAGGCUGAAAACUUAAAGGAAUUGACGGAAGGGCACCACCAGGGAGUGGAGCCUGCGGCUUAAUUUGACUCAACACGGGGAAACUUACCAGGUCAAAACAUGGAUGGGAUUGACAGAUUGAAAGCUCUUUCUUGAUUCUAUGGGUGGUGGUGCAUGGCCGUUCUUAGUUGGUGGAGUGAUUUGUCUGGUUAAUUCCGAUAACGAACGAGACCUUAACCUGCUAAAUAGUCCGGUUCUGAAUAAGGGCCGCGACUUCUUAGAGGGACUAUGUAUGUAAAUGCAUGGAAGUUUAAGGCAAUAACAGGUCUGUGAUGCCCCUAGAUGUCCUGGGCCGCACGCGCGCUACACUGACACGUUCAGCGAGCUAAUAACCUGUCUCGAAAGAGUAUGGGAAAUCUUGUUAGGACGUGUCGUGCUGGGGAUAGAUCUUUGCAAUUAUAGAUCUUGAACGAGGAAUUCCUUGUAAGCACCGGUCAUCAGCCUGUGCUGAAUACGUCCCUGCCCUUUGUACACACCGCCCGUCGCUCCUACCGAUUUCGAGUGAUGUGGUGAACUAUCUGGACUGCUCGUGGGCAUGAAUCAUGAGCGGGAAGUUUCGUAAACCUUAUCACUUAGAGGAAGGAGAAGUCGUAACAAGGUUUCCGUAGGUGAACCUGCAGAAGGAUCAA